rnacentral:rRNA from 1 species
UACAGAGGGGGCAAGCGUUGUUCGGAUUUACUGGGCGUAAAGGGCGCGUAGGCGGUCGUGACAAGUCACUUGUGAAAUCUCCGGGCUUAACUCGGAGCGGUCAAGUGAUACUGUCGGACUAGAGUACAGAAGGGGCAACUGGAAUUCUCGGUGUAGCGGUGAAAUGCGUAGAUAUCGAGAGGAACACCUGCGGCGAAGGCGGGUUGCUGGGCUGAUACUGACGCUGAGGCGCGAAAGCCAGGGGAGCGAACGGG